rnacentral:lncRNA from 1 species
UCACUCCGUUAUUCCUUUGUUACAUGCUUACUAUAUAAAUUAUUACAUUUCACAAACAAAUACAGUAAAAAAACUGUAGUUGUUGAAUUAGGCUAUCCCAUGAAGAAAUCUAGUUAUUUGGACUUAUCUUUCCCUUGUCGUUGUGCUUCUUGACAGCAGUAACUGCCGAUUUUACAACUUUCUUCGAUGCCUCAGCCAUUUUCUCUACCAUCAUUGUUGAAACAGGCUUCUUUUCUUUGGGAUAAACACUUCCGUUCUUGGCAUAUUGUGGUGCACUGCUGCUGCCGGAAUCCAUGUUUGCACUUCUUUUGAAAACGUUUUAUAUCUUUAUAUGAACUCUCCUGUUUCUG